AAAGCUGUGUGUAUCAAUGGGCC
rnacentral:piRNA from 1 species